CCCAUCUUUUAUUGUACCCUUCCUCACUCACGACAAGAAGAGACCCAAAUGUAGCAAGACGAUGGCAGGCGAUAGUACACUGCCCUGUUUAUCCGUUUCCUCCUGUCCCUUUCGUUUUGCAUUUGCAGGGCACGCGAGACUGUUCUUAGAGUUGGGAGAUUGUUCCACGUCAAGCUCCAAGGACGGAAGAUGAAUCCGAGCCGUCGACUUCCCUUUUCCUCUUCAAGAAUGGAACAAAAUCUGGAAAAGGGGUGUUUCUCUAAUUUUUUUUAUUUCAAGAUGGGCUUUGAACCCGAGUUGGAUCCGGUUUCCCCAAAGUUCUCAACCCUAAUUUUCUGGCUAUAUAUAACUCGUUUCUUGUUCAUCUAACCAUUGGCAUAAGAUAUAAAGAAAGCAUGAAGUUUGCUGCACUACGAAAGCCAUAAUAUAUGCAAAUGCCAAGAAGAUCAUUGCAUCUUCAAACCGCCGAGAGGGUCAUCAUCUUCAAACGCCGAGAAAGCAAUCAUCUUCACAUGUCGAGAGGGACAUCGUUUUCAAAUGCCAAGAGGGUCAUUGCAUCUUCAAAUGCCGAGAGGGCCAUCACAUUCAAGCUACCAAGAGGAUCAUUGCAUCUUUAAACGCUGAGAAGGCCAUCACUUUCAUUUUCCAAGAGGGUAUUGCAUUCAAAACCAAGAGGGUCAUUGCAUCUUCAACCGCUAAGAAGGUCAUUGCAUCUUCAAACACCAAGAAUGUCAUUGCUUCUUCCAAUGCCAAAAGAUCAACAUCAUCUUACCAAUCAAGUUUCAACAACAUCAGCCUUCCAUUGGAUCAAAAUUCAUCCUAUCAAUGUAGUAGCAUUAACCUAUUAAUGAAAUGAUGUCGUCAACAAUAUUAUGAGUUGGGAAUCAAAAUAAGCCACAAAAAUAUAAAAGUAACCAAAAUAGGCCACUAUUUUAGUAAGUAACUAAAAUAAGCUUAGUGGAAAAAAAAAAGUUCCACUAUAACCAAUUUCUAAACGUUUUCUGUUAGUGUCAUAAGGUUUAAUUUUAAUA